CCUACGGGAGGCAGCAGUGGGGAAUAUUGCACAAUGGGGGAAACCCUGAUGCAGCGACGCCGCGUGAGUGAAGAAGGAAUUCGGGAUGGAAAGCUCUAUCAGCAGGGAAGAAAAUGACGGUACCUGAGUAAGAAGCCCCGGCUAACUACGUGCCAGCAGCCGCGGUAAUACGGAGGGGGCAAGCGUUAUCCGGAUUUACUGGGUGUAAAGGGAGCGUAGACGGCAGUGCAAGUCUGGAGUGAAAGGCGGGGGCUCAACCCCCGGACUGCUCUUGAAACUGUACGGCUUGAGUGCAGGAGAGGUAAGUGGAAUUCCUAGUGUAGCGGUGAAAUGCUUAGAUAUUAGGAAGAACCCCAGUGGCGAAGGCAGCUUACUAGACUGUACCUGACGUUGAGGCUCGAAAGCGUGGGGAGCAAACAGGAUUAGAUACCCUUGUAGUC
rnacentral:rRNA from 1 species